GGCAAUGUGAUAGGCAGACAAAAAAAAAAGAAGCUGGAAGUUCGCGCGCACGUUAUAAAUUAGCCGAGAACUUUCUUUUUGAGCUCCGAACCGGUUUUCGACGCAUUUUUCAGAUGGAAAACGCAGAGAAAGAAGAAGAACAAGUUACUACCCCUAUCGGCACUGCUCUGGAAAACAUCCUGAGAGGCUUAGACUCGCUGUCCAACAACAUGGAUCAAUUGGCAUUGCGAACCCAUCUGAAACAGUGCGAUCUGCUCAUCUCUGUUAGCCACCCUGACAAAGCGGUAUUUCUCCAAGAAAAAAAAAAAAUCCCAGAAGCGGUGAAGCAGCAGCAGCAGACCGGACUUUGAGCCUAACCUGAGGCGUGAGGAGCAGAGAGAAAAUGAUGCAGCAUCGAACCUUGUUCACCUCCCAGAGAGAAACUUCAGCCUGGUUUCGAGUUAUCCUUCCCUUGUACCAGCUGGGAUCCAAACCCUGGAUUCACAGCGAGAGAAAAGCCACAGUAAAACACAAACAUAUUUUUUACAUUUCUGCUUGAUAUUUUCACAGUUGUAGAGACAGAAUAUGUACCAUGUAUACUAAAAGUAACCUGAUUUGUUAAAACAAAAGUGUUUUUAAGUUCUGUAUCAGACUCGGAAAAGGUUUUUGCUGUUGUAUUGUACAACAUCGCCAUCUGCUGUUUUGACUCUGAAAAUGCACUUUUUUGUGUAACUAACUUCAAUAUAAAUCCCAACCAUUUUA